AAUAAGUGCAGUCGUGGAUAUCCGUGCCCAACGUUUGACCGUCCGUCUUAUUUAAAAAAUUUGAAAAUAUUUAGUCACACAUAAAGUACUAUUCAUGUUUUAUCAUCUAAUAGCAAUAAAAAUACUAAUCAUAAAAAAUUUUCAAAUAAGACGAAUGGUCAAACGUUAAACGUGAAUAGUGCAAAACAGCACUUAUU
rnacentral:pre_miRNA from 1 species